ensembl:lncRNA UXT-AS1 UXT antisense RNA 1
GUGCUGGGUCACACCUGAUGCCAACAUGGCUCUGAAUCUCAUCCAACGCCCAUGAUUCCAGCUUUGGCCAUGGGGAGCUCCUUCAUGCUGGUUCCUGCAUCCUUCAGACAUGCCCUGUCCUUCUGUGAGCACUGUCUUACUUUCUGACCCCACAAGAUAUUUCAGGCUCAUCUUGUAGUUUCCCUGCUCCAGUCCUGGACUCAGCCACUUCUCCAAGAACCUCUGAUUCUUUUUCUUAGAGAAUGGUAUUGAGAAGCCAAGAUCUGGGGACUAAGUGUUCAACUUGUGUUCCACUGUUACUUUAAUGUAUCCCUGGAAUCCAAUCAAGAGAUAGAAACCACAUGGUAGUUUAAAUAGAGAAUGUUUAAUAUAACUAUUAACUAUAACAGGAGAUUGGAGAAAUGGGGGAUUGGCUAGUAAGAGGUAAGAAGAACCCUCACUGCUCCCAAAACAAAGGAGGAAUAUCAGAUUUAGGGAGUAGCCAUUGUCCCCAGUGCCUAAGAAAGAGGCCACUCUCCAUCUUUCCACCCCCUCUCAGAACCAGACCUCACUGGAAAGGGCUCCACUGUGACCUACUGGAUGGCAGAGAAGAUUGCUGGGGUGCUUUGGAAAUCUGCCCUCUGUAAUGCAGAAGGAAGCUGUCCAUGGGCAGGAGUCAUGCUUUGGAACUCACAGCAAAGUCACUAGAGGGCUGCCGGGGGAAGCUGUUCAUAGGGAUGUGCCACAUGCUGCUGGCCACUGGGCACUGCUGGCCACCUAGAGAUGCAUUGUGUAAGCCGCAGAUGCUGCAGGAGCCUGAUGAGGGGAGCUCAUGAGAACCAGGAAGAGAAAUCUCUUCCUCUUCCAAAGUCUUUCUAGUGCCCUCUACUGAUAAUUGGAACAUUUAGGUGAAUUCUUCUGUUUCCCAUGUUCUUCAGUGUCACUAUGCUAUUCAUUUUUAAUACAUGUAUGUUCAUUUGUUAGUUUAUAUGCCAUUUAGAGUUUCCCCCACAUCAUAGUCCAUUUUGAAUUUGAUUUUUUUAGGGUAUGUGAAACAGUAUGGUUCCAAGAGAAAAAGCUGCACAAAAGGUCCCUUCAAAGAAGUGCCACUUAUCUCAUCCCUACUAUCCUGUCCCUUUCCCACCAUCCCCUUAUAAGUAAGUAAUCUCUUUAGUUUCUAUUAUAGUUUAUUCACCUGUAUUUCUUUUGCACAAGUGAGCAGGUACAUGUAUGUCUUCUUAUAUCCCUUCUUUCUGUGAAGGAUAGCAUACAGUAGAUAUUCUUUAGAGCUUUGCUUUUUCACUUACAGAUAUGUCCUAGAAAUUUUUCUGUAUUAAUUCAUGAUAUUCCUCUUUUUAACAGUUACCUAGUACUCCAUUGUGUGUAUAUACCUUAGUUUGUUCAACUACUCUCCUAUGUAUAGACAUUUAUAUUUUGUAAUUACAAUGCUGUAAUGAAUAACUUUGUGCAUUGUAUUUUGCUAUUGUUAGAGAUGUAUCUUCAGGAUAUUGUUAAGUAUUCUCCAAUUCCCCUCCAGAAGGACUGUACCAGUUUUCAUUCCCAACAGAAAUAUGCAAGAGUGACUGUUCCCCUACAGCUUCACCAACAUAAUAUCUUAUCAUACUUUUAAUAUUUACCAGUCCAAAAGAUGAGAAAUGAAAUCUCAAUGUUGUUUUAGUGUGCAUUUCUCUAAUUAUAAAUGAGUUUGAACUUUAAAAAUAUGUUUGGUUGAAUAAUAUUCCAUUGUGUGUAUAUAUAUAUAUCACAUUUUCUUGAUCCAUUUGUCCAUUAAUGGACAGGUAGGUUGUUUCCAUAUCUUGGCUAUUGUGAAAAAUGCUACAAUGAACAUGGGAGUGCAGAUAUUUUCACUAGGUGGUGAAAUAUUAUUCAGCCAUAUAAAAGGAGGAGAUCCUGCCAUUUGCCACAACAUAGAUGGACCUGCAGAACAUUAUGCUAAGUGAAAUAAGUUAGAUACAGAAAGAAAAAUAUUGCAUGAUUUCACUUAUGUAUGAAAUCUAACAAACAAAACUUAAAAUAUCCAGAUAUAGAGAAUAAAACAGUGGUUACCAGGUGUAUUAGUCCGUUCUCACACUGCUGUGAAGAAAUGCCUGACUCUGGAUGAUUUAUAAAGGAAAGAGGUUUAAUAGACUCACAGUUCCGCAUUGUUGGGGGGGCCUCAGGAAACUUACAACUGUGGCAGAAGGCAAAGAGAUGCAGGCACCUUCUUCACAGGGAGGCAGGACGGAGUGAGUGCAAACAGGGGAAAUGCCAGAUGCUUAUAAAACCAUCAGGUCUCAUGAGAACUCACUCACUAUCACGAGAACAGCAUGGGGGAAACCGCCCCCAUGAUCCAAUUACCUCCACCUGGUCCCACCCUUGACACAUGGGGAUUAUGGGGAUUACAACUGGAGAUGAGAUUUGGGUGGGGACACGAAGCCUAACCAUAUCACCAGGGAUGGGGUUGGGUGGGGAGGAAAUGGGGAGAUGUAGCUCAAAGACACAAAGAAGCAGAUAUGUGGGAUGAACAAGUCUAGAGAUCUAAUGUACAACAUGAGGACUAUAGGCAAUAAAAUUGUGCUGUAAUAGGGAUUUUUGUUAAAUAAGUAGAUUUUAGUUGCUAUUGUCACUAAGAAGUAACUACGUGAGAUGAUGGAUAUGUUAAUUUGCUUCACUACAGUAACCAUUUUACUAUUUAUAUGUAUCUCAU